rnacentral:misc_RNA from 1 species
CCCAUUUCGCUUUCUGUCCUGCCCUCUUCUUCUUUUUUUCUCUCCUCCGCUCUGUGAUCUGCUUGCUUGCUUUCUUUCUUUCUUUCAGAGAUGGAAGCGGUGAAGACGGUGAUAUGCUCUUGAAUCUCUCUGGUAAGGAUUGAAUAUAUCACUAUUGAUUUGGGUUUUUCAUAGCAAGUAAAUGUUUGACCCUUUUAUGGUGAUCCACGUGCGUUCUCUAUUUUGCCUUUUUCCUUCUGCUCAGCCAGAA